UACGUAGGGUGCAAGCGUUGUCCGGAAUUAUUGGGCGUAAAGAGCUUGUAGGCGGUUUGUCGCGUCUGCUGUGAAAUUUCGGGGCUCAACCCCGAACUUGCAGUGGGUACGGGCAGACUAGAGUGUGGUAGGGGAGACUGGAAUUCCUGGUGUAGCGGUGAAAUGCGCAGAUAUCAGGAGGAACACCGAUGGCGAAGGCAGGUCUCUGGGCCACUACUGACGCUGAGAAGCGAAAGCCAGGGGAGCAAACGGG
rnacentral:rRNA from 1 species